rnacentral:rRNA from 1 species
GAUGAACGCUGGCGGCGUGCCUAAUACAUGCCAGUCGAGCGAACAGACGAGGAGCUUGCUCCUCUGACGUUAGCGGCGGACGGGUGAGUAACACGUGGAUAACCUACCUAUAAGACUGGGAUAACUUCGGGAAACCGGAGCUAAUACCGGAUAAUAUAUUGAACCGCAUGGUUCAAUAGUGAACGACGGUUUUGCUGUCACUUAUAGAUGGAUCCGCGCCGCAUUAGCUAGUUGGUAAGGUAACGGCUUACCAAGGCAACGAUGCGUAGCCGACCUGAGAGGGUGAUCGGCCACACUGGAACUGAGACACGGUCCAGACUCCUACGGGAGGCAGCAGUAGGGAAUAUUCCGCAAUGGGCGAAAGCCUGACGGAGCAACGCCGCGUGAGUGAUGAAGGUCUUCGGAUCGUAAAACUCUGUUAUUAGGGAAGAACAAAUGUGUAAGUAACUAUGCACGUCUUGACGGUACCUAAUCAGAAAGCCACGGCUAACUACGUG